UUUACAAGAAGAAAACACAAAAUUAAGAAAGGAACUUGAAAAUGUUAGAUCACUUUAUAAGCAACUGAUUGCUGAGAAUUCCCAUGAAAAGUUUGAUGAAAGAAGGGUUACAGUUUUAAAGUCACAAAUUAUACAACUAGAAAGACAGGUACUACAUAGGGUUAGAGGUCAAGGGCCCAGAGGUCAACAUUCCAAGAUCUGAGUUGACAGAAAUGGUUCAUGUUGCUGAAUCAGCAAGAAUCAAACUCUACAAGAACUUGGAGAACUCCUCACAUGAAAAAUUGUUUCAACCUUUCCUGUGUAUGAGUGAAUUUUUGAAGCCUCAAAGACAAGAGGACAUAACUCUGUUUGAUGUAGCCUCUGGAAAGUUAGAUCAUAUCAACCUAAAGCAAGUUACAAAGCUGGAAACGAAGCUUGCUUCCCUAUACAGAGAGAUGAUUCAUUUACAUGAAAUUUUGGAACCUGAAAUGGAAGAAAAGCAAGACUCAAAAGAGGAACAAGUUACUUCCUCUAAUCAUGUUGCUUUGGCAGUCAGGGACCGAUUCAAAACCCAAUUAUUGAAAUCUUGUGCCAUGAUGAAGGAUUGUUGUGCUGAUCUUCUCUCCCUGUCACUCCUGUACCCAUGUGCACCCUGGCCACCUUUGAAAAAGAAUGCCAUCAAGGACAUAUCAGCUGCUCAUGUGAUUAGGUGUCUUCCACUUUUACCAAAAUCCAAAUCAGCAGAUGUUCACUCAGUAAUUGAGACCUUGAUCAGGACUUAUAACUACAAGCAUCAGAUGUCACAACAUGAGAUAAAGAGUCUGCGAGAAGAGUUGAAGUUUCAUAAAUCCAUAUACGAUUUACAAUUAUCCUACGUACAAUCGCUGUUUUCCGUUAUAAGGGAGGGGUACCAAUCAUUUCAGUCAUCUUGUGAUGAAGUCAUAGCGAAUCCAUUUCGAGAAGUUUUGGAGGCUUACAGACAAUUCAAAGAUAAAGCCAAUGAGGAUGGAUUUAAAACUUUUAUAUUAAAGUUUGAUAACUGUUAUGAAAAGGUAGACCAUGCUGUGUCUCAGAUAUGUGUCUCCAAUGGUGAAGAGUUUUCGGAAUUUGGAGAAGCGUUUCUUAGAGAACUGGAUAAAAAGAUCAGUAGAUCUCAAAAUAUGCGCGACAAAGCAUCAAGGGAACGAGGAGAUCUGAAAGUGCAACAGGAAAAGCUUGAAAACGAACUCCGAGCUUUUUUAGAUGAACAAGAAAUAAAGUAUAAGGAGCAUUUUAAACCGGAACCGGAAACAGAUGUCACCCUACCACCACAGGACGAGGUCGUGAUUUUUGUGAAACCUACAGAUGUUUCUGUGAUGGAUAAUGAGAAUAACGUGGUCGUGGUCGAAUCUGCAAUGACCGAUUUAAAUUUAGAUUCGGACAGGAAGUCGAAUCUUGAAUUCGAUAGAAAAUAUGCAUCUAGGAAAAACUUUCUUAAAUUGAACAAAGAAUCUAUCUCGGAUUCGCAUCUGGAUCCCAAAGAUGUGAGUGGUGUGACAAAUGAAUCUUCAGCAGUCGACUCUACGCUGCCACCGCAAGGAAAAGCCCCCAAAAGAACAAAGAAGUUGGUUCCAAGCACAUUUGUACCUAACAGAACGUUACAAUUAAGGAGAUCGGGAAGCUUAAGCAAUAUAGACAAAUCGUUCCAGCCAAACGGAAAAUUAAAACCACUAGACACUGAAAGCGAGAAAAGUGAUGCAAGUUCAAAUGAAAGUAGGAAAGCUCAUGGAGCUACCUCCGAUAAGGGACCAUCCAAGAGAACCCGGUCAACGUCUUCAAAAAGAACUCCUUUUUAUUGAGUCAUAAAAGUGUCAUAUUUCAGAAAGCAUAUUUUAUCUUCAAAAAAUCAAAAUUUUAUAGAAAUUAAAUCUCUACCUUUUGAUAUGACAAUUUUUAUGCAAAAUCAUAAUUGGUGCGAAUUAUAUCUAAUUGAUAAAAUGAAUAUUAUUAAUCUACAAAGUAAGAAUAUGAAUCUCCACACCUGGAUGCCAAUUAUUAUGAAUUAAAAAUUAUCUAUUAAAAU
rnacentral:misc_RNA from 1 species